rnacentral:rRNA from 1 species
AAGCGCCGGCUAACUACGUGCCAGCAGCCGCGGUAAUACGUAGGGCGCGAGCGUUGUCCGGAAUUAUUGGGCGUAAAGGGCUUGUAGGCGGUUGGUCGCGUCUGCCGUGAAAUCCUCUGGCUUAACUGGGGGCGUGCGGUGGGUACGGGCUGACUUGAGUGCGGUAGGGGAGACUGGAACUCCUGGUGUAGCGGUGGAAUGCGCAGAUAUCAGGAAGAACACCGGUGGCGAAGGCGGGUCUCUGGGCCGUUACUGACGCUGAGGAGCGAAAGCGUGGGGAGCGAACAGGAUUAGAUACCCUGGUAGUCCACGCUGUAAACGUUGGGCACUAGGUGUGAGGCUCCUUUCCGGGGGUUUUGCGCCGUAGCUAACGCAUUAAGUGCCCCGCCUGGGGAGUACGGCCGCAAGGCUAAAACUCAAAGGAAUUGACGGGGGCCCGCACAAGCGGCGGAGCAUGCGGAUUAAUUCGAUGCAACGCGAAGAACCUUACCAAGGCUUGACAUAUACUGGACCGCAUCAGAGAUGGUGUUUCCCUUCGGGGCUGGUAUACAGGUGGUGCAUGGUUGUCGUCAGCUCGUGUCGUGAGAUGUUGGGUUAAGUCCCGCAACGAGCGCAACCCUUGUCCCGUGUUGCCAGCACGUUGUGGUGGGGACUCGCGGGAGACUGCCGGGGUCAACUCGGAGGAAGGUGGGGAUGACGUCAAAUCAUCAUGCCCCUUAUGUCUUGGGCUUCACGCAUGCUACAAUGGUUGGUACAGAGGGUUGCGAUAUCGUGAGGUGGAGCGAAUCCCUUAAAGCCAGUCUCAGUUCGGAUUGGGGUCUGCAACUCGACCCCAUGAAGGUGGAGUCGCUAGUAAUCGCAGAUCAGCAACGCUGCGGUGAAUACGUUCUCGGGCCUUGUACACACCGCCCGUCACGUCACGAAAGUUGGUAACACCCGAAGCCCAUGGCCUAACCGCGUUUGUGGGGGGAGUGGUCGAAGGUGGGAUUGGCGAUUGGGACGAAGUCGUAACAAGGUAGCCGUACCGGAAGGUGCGGCUGG